AAAAAAAAAACUCAAAAAAUUUAUGGUGAAAACAUGAAAGAUUAACUGGCCUUGAAAUUUUUUUGAAUAAUAUAAGGUCAGAGAUAUAUGGCAUGAAUUGAGAUUCUCUUGGUGCUGUGCCGCUAUUUCAUGUCAAACUGAGCAAGAUACAUGUUUUUGUAUCUAAGUUAUAACACUAAAUUAUGAGGAUUGGAGAUAAAAACUUGGUGGUUCAUGCAUCUUUCCUUUUUGUUUUGUAUCCAU
rnacentral:misc_RNA from 1 species